rnacentral:lncRNA from 1 species
CGACGCCGGGGCCGGUUCUCCCCCCAUACGCACACACCACCACCACCGCCACCGCCACACACCCACCGCCCGCCGGGCCCUGCGGCAGCGCGGGACCGCUUACCUGCUGCUUCCCCUCGGUGGUGCGCGGGGCCGGGCAGCGCCGCUCGGGGGCACCGCGGAGGUUUCCUCGCCGCGAACCGAGCGCGGCGCCCGCCGCUCGCGCGCCCUUCGGCAGCCCCCGCUCCGGGCCGGACGAACGCGGAGCCGGCGCCGAGGGGCGCCCGCCGCCCUCCGGCCCCGCGGAGCCGCACGCGCAGGGGCCGCCGCCGCCGCCGCAAGUUUGGCGCCGCGGCCGCACUUCGCGCCGCUCCCCCCGCCCCCACCUCCGCCCCUCCGCCGGGCUCCGGCGGCGGCCGAGCUCCCGCGGCGCGGAGCCGAGCGGCCGCGGCCCCGCCGAGCGCUGCGAGCGGAGGAACGGAGAGCGGGGCGGCGGCGGCGGCGCAGAGAGCAGAGCGGGGCCCGGGGGGCGCGCGUGUCCCUGCGCGAUGCGAGCGGGCCCGCGUGCUGCGCGGCCGCUGCCCCUCACUCACACAUGUGUUACUGACAGAGCAGAAUCCCAACUACACUCCGGCCCGGCCCCGCCGCCCGCCCGCCGCAGCCAAUCCGCCCCCGGCUUGUUCAGGCGGAAUAAUAAAACCUGCCAAUCCCGGAGAAGACAAAGGAAUGAGUGAAAGAGGAGGAAAAAAAAAAAAAAAAAAAAAAGAGAGCGAGGGAGAGAAGGGGGGGCAGAGAGGAGGAGGGGAAUGGAGGGGAAGGAGGGAGUCAGGUGGGAAGCGGCGCCCGCCGCCCCCGCCCGGCGCUGCGGAGCGGCGGCCGAGGGCAACGAGCUGCCGGCGGCGGCGGCGGCACCGCGCCCCGCUCCGCUCGCGGCCACCAGUUGAGAAAGUUGCCGGCUCCCGCCCCGAGCGGCGGCACGCGGCUGAGCGCUGCGGCACCGGCCCUCGUGGCGCCCUCUGGGCACGGCGCGUCGCGCUGCCCGCGGCCCGAUCCUCAGCCACUGCGCCGGGAGGGCUCCGCGUCCCGCGUUGGGGUCGGAGCCGCGUGGGUCUCUGCCGGGAGGACGGCACCCCCCGCACCCUGACCACAACCAGCGGUUGGCAAUCGGUGCCGGGUACGGCCCGCGGCAAGCAGCGCCCUACGAGGGUCACGGCGCUGCCCGGACGGCGCUCGGUGCGCGGCGGAACGCGGCUGCGUUGCUGA